rnacentral:tRNA from 1 species
GGGGUCGUCGGCUAGUCUGGUCCAGGCUUCACCUCGGGCGCUUGAGAGCGCCGGUUCAAAUCCGGCCGACCCCA